GGGAUAUAAACCCAGGCAUUUGAGCCAGCAACGGCUACCCUCUUUCCGUCCCCUCCCUUUGUAUGGGAGCUCUGUUUUUAUUCUAUUUCACUCUAUUAAAUCUUGCAACUGCACUCUUCUGGUCCGUGUUUGUUACGGCCCGAGCUGAGCUUUAACUCGCCGCCCACCGCUGCUGUUUGCUGCCGUCGCAGACCCACCGCUGACUUCCAUCCCUCCGGAUCUGGCAGGGUGUCCGCUGUGCUUCCGAUCCAGCGAGACGCCCAUUGCCGCUCCCGAUCGGGCUAAAGGCUUGCCAUUGUUCUUGCACGGCUAAGUGCCUGGGUUCAUCCUAAUCGAGCUGAACACUAGUCACUGGGUCCCACGGUUCUCUUCCGUGACCCAUGGCUUCUAAUAGAGCUAUAACACUCACCACAUGGCCCAAGACUCCAUUCCUUGGAAUCCGUGAGGCCAAGAACUCCAGGUCAGAGAACACGAGGCUUGCCACCAUCUUGAAAGUGGCCCACCAGCAUUUUGGAAGAGGCCCGCCACCAUCUUGGGAGCUCUGGGAGCAAGGACCCCCCGACCCUGCACUUGAUGGAUCAACUGGCAUCACCUAGACCAGUAAACUGGCUCGUCUGGUCUGUGGCCCCACACCCAGGAACUCACUUAGCUGAAGAGGACAGCUUUGACUUCCUAUGAUUUCAUCCACAACCUGACCAAUCAGCACUCCCUACUCCAUAGCCCCCUGCCCACCAAACUACCUUCAAAAAAGCCUAGCCUCUGAAGUUUUGAGGAGGCUGAUUUGAGUAAUAAUAAAACUCAGGUUUCCUGUUUAGCCAGCUCUAGUAUAUUAAACUCUUUCUGUAUUGCAGUUCUCCUGUCUGAAUGUCAGCUCUAGCUGGGCAGUGGGCAAGAAGAACCCAUUGGGCAAUUACAAAGAGGGAAGUAAGACAUGACUGCUGUCACAUUUCAAUGCCUUUCUGGGCCUGAUAAUUUAAAGGGGCUCACAUUUCUCAAAGCCAACUUAUCCCAAUCUUGCCAACCACAAGUUUUGUAGCAGUUACGGAAAACAAAAACUACAACCUGGGACAAGACCAAAGUCACAUACCCCUCUGUUCUCAUUGCUGUAUAACAACUCCAUUCCUACUUUGGUUCAGGGAGUUACCUAAUUUUGAGGUGCUCCCUGAUGAACAUUGACUGAAUAAAGCCUUUGACCUCUAUUUGAGAUCACUUUAACAAUUUUUUUCUUGACAGUUUAAUGCUGUGACUUAGGAUCUGGAUGAACCCUGGAUCCCACUGCAGUUUCAGAGGAGGAGAGACUGCAUUGAGGGAUCUUUGCUUCCUCCUUUCUUGGGGACUACUGUUGGGUUGAGAGGUAAAUAAUGUUCCUGAUUCUGUGCUCAGGUUUUUUUCUUGUAACACAGAGGUUUCAGGCUUCCAUUCUUUGAAAGGAUUAACUUAUUGUCUGAUAGGUCACUGCAUCUAUUUUCCUUUUGUCUUUUUGGGAU
rnacentral:lncRNA from 10 species